AAUAUACUCACUCCAUUUGGAAAUACUUGUCAGAGAAAUGCAUGUAUUUAGAUGUAUUUUAGUUCUAGAUACAUCCAUUUUUAUUCAUUUCUGCGACAAGUAAUUUCGGACGGAGGGAGUACAUG
rfam:Triticum aestivum genome assembly, contig: Triticum_aestivum_CS42_TGACv1_scaffold_161435_2DL